rnacentral:rRNA from 1 species
AUGGGGUGCCCAAGCGGCGAUGCGUCUGAGGAGUCAGUGCUCACUUCAUCUGUGGCAGUACCUUCAUCCAUGACCACCACCGACAUCGUUCCUGAGCUCACUGCAACUGGUGGCUGCUCCUCAGUGGCGCACACCACCUGUUCGACUACGGGUCUUUACCCCUACACAGGGCAUAUCCAGGUCGCUGAGGUGCCCUUGCUCAUGGUGGACCAGUUCCUGAUGGCCCUUGAUGUCUUCUCUGAGAUCGCGACCUCUAUGGGCAAGCUCAUGGUCGAUCCUUCCAUGGUUCUGCUCAAAACCGGCUUGAUUCCGUGUUCUGAAAGUGAUGACGGCAUAUCGUCCCAUGUGUCAUCCACAUACCAGUGCUCUCCAGUUCAUUGGGAACCACCUUGGCCACUACCACCUCAAGGUAUAUUUGAGAAGCUAUUCCUGAGCCAGCCAUACGGAAAUCUCAAUUACUAUGCUACCAGAAUUACCUUGAGUACAUCUAGUUCCCCUGGUUACCAUUGUUUGCAUGUGGAGUUUGGAAACUUUGGUUUUGAGUUACUUUCUGUUGAUGAGUGCUGGAAGUAUUGGAAAUAUGAGCCUGGGUAUGGUUGUGUUUCAAUGGAAGAAUCAAAUGACAAAUUACUAGAAGGCUUAGUUUCUUCUGCGGAUCCUUGUGAGCAAGACCAUUCCAUUAUAACUGUUGAAAGUCUACUGGGUACUCCUUAUUGGGGUUCUCUGCUAUUUUUGAAGCCUGUUAUUUACUUGAGAGUAUCCUGCAGUUUUUGGCCACUUAUGCAGCAGUUUAGUGACAAUGGAUGGCUCUCAUUUCAAGUUGAAAUAUCUGGGACCGACAUGGUGCAGUGCGUCGAAUCAAGGACCAAUACUCUGAAUGGAGCAAGUCAUUUUUCGAUUGCUCUUUGGGAGGCGUUCUUUGGUUUCAUUAUGAGAUGUGGCCAAGCCUGUUACAAGUCCAAGUAUCUGGUUCACGAAUAUGUUCAUGAAGGGCCCUUAAUGAUCAAACAUACAUGUCUUGUUCCUGGAGAAGAGCUGUUAAUUAGUACUACCUUUGCUGCUCUGGAAUCACAUAUGCUGCACCUAUUUGGUGAUGUCAGUGGUCUGUGCAAUCCUAUUUUGUUGUGGUCCUUGGAUGAUGAACUUGGGGGCAUUCAAAAAGGGUGGUCAUCUAUUCAGUAUAUGUAG